rnacentral:rRNA from 1 species
GUACCCCUACGGGGGGCAGCAGUGAGGAAUAUUGGUCAAUGGGAGAGAUCCUGAACCAGCCAAGCCGCGUGAGGGAAGACGGCCCUAUGGGUUGUAAACCUCUUUUGUCGGAGAACAAAACCCGGGACGUGUCCCGGACUGCGUGUAUCCGAAGAAAAAGCAUCGGCUAACUCCGUGCCAGCAGCCGCGGUAAUACGGAGGAUGCGAGCGUUAUCCGGAUUUAUUGGGUUUAAAGGGUGCGUAGGCGGGCUGUUAAGUCAGCGGUCAAAUGUCGGGGCUCAACCACGGCCUGCCGUUGAAACUGG